UACUUGACACGACGUCCUCCACCCCCAAACGUUUCACCCGUUCCGGUUUUGGGGUGUGACAGAUUGGUAUCAGAGCAUUGUUUAUAAUGAACUAAGUAUAUCAACUGAUAAAAGAUAUACGUCUAUAAAUACAAAGAUGCUUAAGUGCUCUGAAUAAUGAUAUAUUUUAGAGUAUAACUACAAGUUAUAAAAAUAUACCUACUUNCAUACAUGCACAUAAUAGAACUAGGGUCACGAGGAGAACAAAACUAAAAGUAUUUAAAGGUUGGGCACUGUCGUCAACCCGAAUAGUUAUGUAAUCAUAGCUAGGUUCAAUAUAGCAUGAUCAACGAUAUUCAUUCGAGAUGUGACCGACAUGUGUUUGGGAAUGAUGUGGUGUUGCAACAGGGUUAAAACUUACCUGAACACCAGUCAAGAGAACGCCCAAACAAGUACAGUUAGAGUUAGAAUACUAUAGGAGUAAUUUGGUCCAGAUAAAUAACUUAAGUGAUAACUUAAAAGACCCUUGCGAAUAGGUCUAUAAUCUUACAGGGUAUAUUCAUAAAGUUUUAUAUAUAAUCAAGAUCUUAUAGACAUAGAAUCUGUGACCGACGCUUCGCUAUCCAUUCCUCUUAAGGAAGUUGUGUUGAGGUGGGAUCAAUUAUUCGAAGGUCUAUUUGAUCUUCAAUUAUAUACAAUACAAACUGGUGUACCUUGUACAAUUAUAGAAGGAUUCCGUAAGGAUCACCUCAUAAAGUUACCUUAAAGCUCAUAGGUUCUUUAGUCACUUUCAUUCUCGCACGACAAGCCCAGAUAAACGUAACCACUUCCUCAUAGUAGACAACAGAGGAGUUCAGGAGGAACAAGAACAAGUCAUAGGAAGUUUCAAGGAAAGAUCAGCUGAAGUAACCAAAAUGUCUUAUGCAUCACACUAAUAAAUAUUAAUUAGGUCAAUUUAUCGAGCGAGUAGAAACACUGUUCACAUUACCUGUGUUAGAAUUAAUUUCUUACAUGCAGCUGGUAACAGUUAUUUAGGAAACAAAUAUUCAUUCGAGGAUAGUUAUUUGAAAUUCAUAGAGUUUAUUUGGUAUAGACUCAUUUAUGAAUUAUUUCUAGAACCCUGUGGAAGUCAGGACCCGAUACAUCCAGAACUAGGAUAACCUUGUCUUUUCAGCUUUCGGCUUGUUUCCGUUGCUAUAGACUUAUUCCGUCUCAUCUUUGUUUUCUUUUAGCAAAGAUGCCUCCUCGCAGAUCACCCAGACACACUACUCCGAUAACUACCAUACCUUCUCCACAAAUCGAUGCAGCAACUCUGAACGUUGCAAUGGCCGCGGCUAUGGCAACAGCCAUGGCACAAUAUCACCCCAUCAGUACAGGUGGAGGUGAAACGCCUACUGAUUCUACUCAAGGUGAGGUCCCUGUGCGCCAGGGAGAGUUCUCCUACAAGGACUUCACCUGAUGCCAACCAUUGUCCUUUAAAGGGACUGAAGGAGUCAUUGCCCUCCUGCAAUGGUUCGAGAAAUAAGAGUCGGUCUUCGAAAUCUGUUUAUGCUCAGAAGGAAGCAAAGUGAAGUUUGAUGCUUGCACCUUCGAUGGAAAGGCCCUAACAUGGCAAACUCAAUAGGUUGGGAAAACCUAAAAGAGUUAAUGUGGGAAGAAUAUUGCCCGUUAGGCGAGAUUCAAAAACUGGAACAAGAGCUGUGGGAUCUCACUUGGUUGGCUCAGCGAACUAGCAGCUCUAUGUCCCGAGAUGAUUACCUCGGAGAAGAAGAAGAUAGAGAGAUACAUUUGGGUUCUGACUGCCCCGAACCAAGGAAAUGUUAUCUUCUAACCCAGUCACAUCUGAUAGUGCUAAACGCUUGGCUCAGCGACUCAUCGAUCAUGGAGUCCGCCACAGCGUAAGAGUCCCUAUUCCCGAGUCAUCGAGGGAAGAGGACUAUAAUCAGAAGUCGAGGAACAAGAGGAAGAAGAAACAAACAAUACAAGACACCCCGCAAGAGCAACAAGCAAGUACUAUGUACGCCACAACGACGCCUACUGCUUCAGCACCUACCAGUCGUUAUGUUGGAAACCUUCCGAAGUGUGGAAAGUGCAACUUUCACCACACUAGAGUAUACUGAGAAAUGCAGUGUCUGAACUGCAACAGAAAGGGACACAAAGUCUGUUACUGCAGGGCACCGGCUCAACCGAUCUCCCAAGUCCUUGGAGCUGAAGAAAACCAAGCCUGCUACGGCUGUGGUGACAAUGGACACAGUCAGAGGAACUGCCCAAUAAUAAGGAACUUAGGAGCGGAUGGACGCAUUCUGAUGAUCACCGCAGGAGAAUCUACCCCGGAGUCGUCAACGAGUAGUGGUACGUUUUCAAAAUAGUAAUUACUUUUAAAAUUAAUUUAUAUUCAUAUAAGAUUAAAAUUUGGAGAUGACAAUUAAAAGUAACUAUAACAACUCACAUGUUAGAAUAGGUCAAAAUAUUCAAGAGAACUAAAAGAUCCCUUAGAGAAGCUAUUAUGGCUCACCAUAUACAUCAGGGUUGUGCGCAACUAAGAUGUUGUAGACUUAGAUUAAGUGACUCCGCUUAGGUCCCCUUUCCUUAAUUGGUUGAGGAUUUGAGGCAGAGAUGCUCAAUCGACUGCCUAGCUCAUCUUAAGUAUUCACAACUUGUAUAUGACGGGCAGUGGUAGUGGUACCAUGGGGGAUUAAGGUGUAAAGGUAUCCCUUCAGUUAGUAAAGCACUUUUAUUUGUAUGUAUGCGCACAUAGCGGUACGAUACAUAGGAGUGUUAAUUUCAAAAUAGAAAACAAGAAACACGAGAACAGUUACAAGGAGUACAUUGUUGAACAUACUAGGAGUACAGUACCAAGCAUACCAGGGAUACAUCACUGUUUAUCAGACGUUUCUUUCAUUUGACCAAAACUUUGUUCAGUAUAGAGUCCGUUGUAUUCUGUCGUCAUGAGUUAGCGUGGUCCUCACCAUACUGAGUUUAUAUGUUUCUAUCGUCUCGAUUGGCAAGUUCUCGAAACUUUCGUCAUUCGUAUCGAAUGUCCGACCUGAAUCAAAAACUUUAUCUUUCGCAUUCUAAACCCUCGAAGUACUCGUGCGAAGAGUAAUUUGUCCUCCGAAGCCUUAUCGUUAGAUGUCCACAGACCGUCACGAAAUACCACUCGUCUAGUAGACCAAGUUCGAGCACAGAGGCUAUGGACGAAUACAGCCUGCCUAUUAUUAUUGAAGGUAUACGCAAGGGUGGUAUAUGAGUAUGAUUACGCAGAUCCAGCAUGUGUGUUUCCGCCCUAUCUCCUGUUCCCCGUUGGGUUGUGGGCCUGGGGUAGAGUUGCACAUUCGACAGUCUUACUAACCCUAAUUAUAUACGACUUGUAUAAAUGAGGUAAUGACAGAUGGACCAAGUAUGAAUCCUAUCAGGAACACCAGGGCAAAGUUGCCAGGUCUACGAGUGAGUAUUCUACAAAGAAGAAGAGCUCAAACCCAGUAGUUUAUACAACAUGUUUAUAUAUAAGACUAAUAUCCAAUAGAUAGUUAAAUGUGUGUUUUCCGCCCGACAUCUUGUUCUCGUUGGAUUGUGGGCUUAGAGCAGAUUCCCCCAAUUAACUAUCUACCCGAUAUCAGAUUAUAUAUAGCAGUAUAAACAAAGCUAUUAUAAAAGUAAUCACCGUAGUCAUUAUUUUAGUAUAAGAAAUAUAGGUUUUCUUAAAGAACUCUCCAUUAGAUAUAAAGGAACCAUUACAAAUAACUCCAUGAGUAACAAGUGAAUACACCAAGGUUAUAUAUGACAAUGAUCUAACAACCAAUGGAAUGUGUGCUAUCCGCCUUACUUGUUGUUCCCCGUUGGGUUAUGAGUUUAGGGUAGAUGCGCACAAUCGAUUGUUUAUUUACUCUGAGUAUAUAUAACUUGUACCCACUUAGUACGCAUAGAAAGGCUUGUAGUGUCAUUUUACUUAACUUUCAUUUAAGUAGGAAAUAUAGGAUUUUCUAGAGGAACAGGCGAACAUUUCAAAACAGAACUUACAGCUUAAAUCAUUUGUGCAUAUACAUUUUCAACCACAUUUUACAACUUACUCACAUCACUAAAAUCUUAUGAACUCACCGGCUUAAUUGUUGAUCAAACCUUUCAAAUAACUUGUAUUCUCAGGAGACUAUUAGACAGGUGCUCGUACUGGGAAUUUAGAAGAUGGAGCAUUACAGCUUCAAGUCUUGUUUUGUUAUUUGUUUGUGACUACUAUGUUUUGUGAACACACACUUUGUAAACACUUUCUUUCUAAAUGAAAUGGUUGUUCAUUACUCCACCCCCGAACGUUUCUGCCGUUCCGGUUUUGGGGUGUGACAGAUUGGUAUCAGAGCAUUGUUUAUAGUGAACUAAGUAUAUCAACCGAUAAAAGAUAUACGUCUAUAAAUACAAAGGGGCAUAAGUGCUCUGAAUAAUGAUAUAUUUUAGAGUAUAACUACAAGUUAUAAAAAUAUACCUACUUGCUCAUACAUGUACAUAAUAGAACUAAGGUCACGGGGAGAACAAAACUAAAAGUUUUUAAAGGUUGGGCACUGUUGUCAACCCGAACAGUUAUGUAAUCAUAGCUAGGAUCAAUAUAGCCUAAUCAACUAUAUUCAUUCGAGAUGUGACCGACAUGUGUUUGGGAAUGAUGUGGUGCUGCAACAGGGUU
rnacentral:lncRNA from 1 species